rnacentral:rRNA from 1 species
AAGAAAUUAACGAAGAUUUCCUUAGUAACGGCGAGUGAAAAGGAAUUAGUCCAGCGCUGAAUCUUUUAGCCUUCGGUUAAAGGACCUGUAGCGUGAAGGAAAGACUUUCUGUUCGGUUAGCGGCUUCGGAAACUCCCUCGAAUGGGAUCCCAAAGCAGGUGCGAGGCCUGUAACGAGGUGACACCGAUCGGUUAGUAUUUCCAAAGAGUCGGGUUGCUUGAGAGUGCAGCCCAAAGUCGAAGGUAAACCCCUUCUAAGACUAAAUAUGACCACGAGACCGAUAGCGAACAAGUACCGCGAGGGAAAGUUGAAAAGAGCUUUGAAGAGAGAGUUCAAAAGGGCGUGAAACCGCUUAGAAUAAAACGGACGGAGCCGUCCGGAGCCUUCGGGAAUCAGUCGAAAUUUGAACGAAAAUUCGAUUCGUUUUCUAGAACGCAAGUCUAGACGAGUCGAUAGUAGAUUAGUUUCGACGCAUUUCUCGUUGGUAUGCACUGCGACCGAUACGAAAGGCUGACGAAGCGUCGUUGAUUGAGGUCGACCUACCCGUUAAACGGUUCGUCGUUUCCAAUCUCGACGCCUCGAGUCGUCGGACCGCAGUAUGUAUCGAGCGUCCCAUCGAAAAUGAAUGUCGGCCGUAAAAUAGGGCUCGUUCGCAUAAUGGAUAGUUGGUUCCAAUUGGUCGGUUACUUGCUCGCAGGUACCGAUGGUUGGUGAUUAAUUUAGAAAUUAUCGACGACUCUUCGACAUUCGGGCGUCAGCAGUGUCAGUGUCGGCCACCCAUCCGACCCGUCUUGAAACACGGACCAAGGAGUCUAACAUAUGCGCGAGCCAUUGAGUGUUUAAAACUCACAGGCGCAAUAAAAGUAAACGAAGUCUCCGGCUUCCAAGAUACGAUCCUUUAUUACUCGGUUAAACGAGUACUUUAGGCGCAGUAUCGUCCCGUCCCGAUCGCAUAUCGAUAGGGCGGAGAUAGAGUGCAUACGUUGGGACCCGAAAGAUGGUGAACUAUGCCUGAGCAGAGCGAAGCCAGAGGAAACUCUGGUGGAGGUUCGUAGCGGUUCUGACGUGCAAAUCGAUCGUCAGACUUGGGUAUAGGGGCGAAAGACUAAUCGAACCAUC